UCCUUGAUGGCUCAUUUGGUAAAGAAUCUGCCUGCAGUGCAGAAGACCCCGGUUCAAUUCCUGGGUUGGGAA
rnacentral:tRNA from 1 species